CCCAUCACCUCACCCAUCCUCUCAAUUAGCAGCCCGCCCUACACUCAACUCUCUCUCAUUUCUUUCAUUCAAUCUCUGAAAAAUUCAGAGCACUCUCAUCUCUCUUUCUCUCUCUCUCUCUCAAUUUUUGUUUUCACUAUCUCUCUUAGUCUCUCAAGAAAAACUCCAUGAAAGGUUGAGUUCAAGCUUUGAGAAGACAAUGUUCUAGGAUUAGAUGCUCAAGGUAGCCACAAGUCUCUCGAGCUCACUUAGAAGCUUGUAUGCAACUUUGAUCACCAAGCAGGUUACCCUAGUUUUCAAAAUUUCUAUUUCUUCCCUUGUUUCCUUCUCCUCUUUGGGUUUAUGAUAUGACUUGGUGAAGUUUUGGGGGAGGUUUAAAGGUGUUGGAGGAUAGUGGUGAGGUUCUAAACCUAGGAGGGACACACAUCCAAAACAUAAAGCAACUAAGAAUGUAGCUAGUGAUGGCUGGGCCACAAUGGGAGUGUUUUACACACUCGCCUGGCAUCGACCGUAACCUUGGUGCUGGGAGACGUACCUCGCUUGGCAAGGCCGCUCGGCACGGCCAUGUAAAUUGUGUAUGUGUUUGAAAUGAGCAUGUUAUAAGCUAUGAAAUGUGUUAAUGAUUUACAUGAUUGGAAUAAAUGUAUGUAUAAUCUGCGAAGCAUGCUAAUUGUUGUUUAUUUUUACCGUGAUUAUUAUUAUUAUUUCUUGUGGGGUUUUCUUCUUGGACCAUGGCCCACGGAUGCUCUAUGGUGCAGGUA